rnacentral:rRNA from 1 species
UACCAGCUCUCCGAGUUGUAGGGAUGAUUAUUGGGCUUAAAGCGUCCGUAGCUGGCUUAGCAAGUCUCCUGUUAAAUUCAGCGACCUAAUCGUUGAGCCGCGGGAGAUACUACUAGGCUAGGAGGCGGGAGAGGUCGACGGUACUUUCGGGGUAGGGGUGAAAUCCUAUAAUCCCGGGAGGACCACCAGUGGCGAAGGCUGUCGACUAGAACGCGCUCGACGGUGAGGGACGAAAGCUGGGGGAGCGAACCGGAUUAGAUACCCGGGUAGUCCCAGCUGUAAACUAUGCGGGCUAGGUGUUGGGGUGGCUACGGGCCACUUCAGUGCCGCAGGAAAGCCAUUAAGCCCGCCGCCUGGGGAGUACGUCCGCAAGGCUAGAAACUUAAAGGAAUUGGCGGGGGAGCACCACAAGGCGUGAAGCUUGCGGUUC